UACGAAGGGGGCUAGCGUUGCUCGGAAUGACUGGGCGUAAAGGGCGCGUAGGCGGCUUGCACAGUCAGGCGUGAAAUUCCUGGGCUCAACCUGGGGACUGCGCUUGAGACGUGUGGGCUUGAGGCAUGGAGAGGGAUGCGGAAUUCCCGGUGUAGUGGUGAAAUGCGUAGAUAUCGGGAGGAACACCAGUGGCGAAGGCGGCAUCCUGGCCAUGUCCUGACGCUCAGGGGCGAAAGCGUGGGGAGCAAACCGG
rnacentral:rRNA from 1 species